rnacentral:rRNA from 1 species
UGGGGAAUCUUGGACAAUGGGCGCAAGCCUGAUCCAGCCAUGCCGUGUGGAUGAUGAAGGCCUUAGGGUUGUAAAAUCCUUUCGUUGGGGACGAUAAUGACGGUACCCAAAGAAGAAGCUCCGGCUAACUCUGUGCCAGCAGCCGCGGUAAUACAGAGGGGGCAAGCGUUGUUCGGAAUUACUGGGCGUAAAGGGCGCGUAGGCGGCCUUCUAAGUCAGACGUGAAAUCCCCGGGCUCAACCCGGGAACUGCGUCUGAUACUGGAGGGCUUGAAUCCGGGAGAGGGAUGUGGAAUUCCAGGUGUAGCGGUGAAAUGCGUAGAUAUCUGGAGGAACACCGGUGGCGAAGGCGGCAUCCUGGACCGGUAUUGACGCUGAGGCGCGAAAGCCAGGGGAGCAAACGGGAUUAGAUACCCAAGUAGUCCCUGAGCGGGCUGGCAAGGCGCAU